rnacentral:rRNA from 1 species
AGCAGCCGCGGUAAUUCCAGCUCCAAUAGCGUAUAUUAAAGUUGUUGCAGUUAAAAAGCUCGUAGUUGAACUUCGGGGUUUACUCAUUGGUCAGGCUUAAUUGUCUGUACUGGUGAGAUGAAUCUCUACCUUCUGAGGAACUUUCAUGCCAUUUAUUUGGUGUGGUUGGAAAUCAGGACUGUUACUUUGAAAAAAUUAGAGUGUUUAAAGCAGGCUAACGUCUGAAUACAUUAGCAUGGAAUAAUGAAAUAGGACGGAUUGAUUCUAUUUCGUUGGUUUCUAGGGUCACCGUAAUGAUUAAUAGGGAUAGUUGGGGGCAUUAGUAUUCAAUUGUCAGAGGUGAAAUUCUUGGAUUUAUUGAAGACUAACUACUGCGAAAGCAUUUGCCAAGGAUGUUUUCAUUAAUCAAGAACGAAAGUUAGGGGAUCGAAGACGAUCAGAUACCGUCGUAGUCUUAACCAUAAACUAUGCCGACUAGGGAUCGGACGCAGUUAAUUUUAUAAUGACGUGUUCGGCACCU